rnacentral:hammerhead_ribozyme from 1 species
AUCCAUCAGACGAGUCCCAAAUAAAACGAAACGCGCAUCCUGGAU